CCUACGGGUGACAGCAGUAGGGAAUAUUGGUCAAUGGGCGAAACCCUGAUCCAGCUACGCCGCGUGUGGGAUGACGGCCCUCGGGUUGUAAACCCCUUUUGUCAGAGACGAUAAUGACGGUACCUAUCGAAUCAUCACCGGCUAACUCCGUGCCAGCAGCCGCGGUCAUACUGCGGGUGCAAGCGGUAAUCGGUAUUACUGGGCGUAAAGGGCGCGUUGGUGGGAUAGCAAGUCCGAUGUGAAAUCCUAGGGCUUAACCAUAGAACUGCAUAUGAAACUGUUAGUCUAGAGUUUGUGAGAGGUAGGUGGAAUUCUAGGUGUAGGAGUGAAAUGCGUAGAGAUCAAGAAGAACACUGAUGGCGAAGGCAGCCUGCUGGAACAUAACUGACGCUGAUGCACGAAAGCGUGGGGAGCAAACAGGAUUAGAUACCCGGGUAGUC
rnacentral:rRNA from 1 species